AUCGCUUCUCAGCCUUUUGGCUAAGAACAAAGUGUAGUAUCAGUUCUUAGCAGUUUAAAAUGCCCAGUUACCUCCAUACAAAUUAAAGUGGCAUUCGGUUCAUGCUGGACCCUCU
rnacentral:snRNA from 1 species